rnacentral:misc_RNA from 1 species
GUGAGCAGCUGGUACUCUUUUGUCAUUAACGUUGGUAAUUGAGCCACAAUGUAUCAGAUCCCUUCAAAACUCACUAAACUACGUGUUACGUUGAACGAAAAUGUGGACAACAAAAUUAUUUGUGUUGGAUAGUCAAAAAAUAUUGAUGCUCUGUCUAGAAAUUUAUCUUCAACAUACGGAAGAUCGCCGGUCACAAGGUUAUGUUGAAGGUCCAUCUCCAAAUUUUUAACAGUAAUAUUGCAACCAUAAUCAGUCAGUGAUGUAAUCAACAAACAAAAAAACAAAAAAAAUGGCAACACCAUAUGUUCAGAAAGUGCACUUGGGCAAUAUGGCCUCAGCUUACCAUAGUGGUGAAACAGUGUUUGAGUGUAAUAAAGCAGUUAAAAGUACAUUUAAUUGUUUACAGUGCAAUAUUGAAUAUGCAAGUUGUCCUGCUUGUGAUCAGCAACGUGGUGUUAAAUGUGUACGUCGAAGGAGCAAGAGUGAGGGAAUAGAAGCAGAUCCCUUGAGAGAACAUAACCGACUCCAAGAGACAAGCUAUGACGUUCAGCAUUGGAAGAGAAAAAUAGUGAGAGAGUAUGAUUCUCACAACCGUAUUUGCCGUCAGGAUCCUUGUAGAAAUGAUGUAAAUGAAGAAUUGUAUUCACGAUCAGAACCAUUUAUACAGCCUAUGGAAAUAGAUAUGGGUAUAGAACAUAAAUUUCCGCCCAAUAGAAUUCUUUCACCUGUAAAAAAGUUCAGAGAAAGGCUUCUACCAACAAACCACCAUAAUUUAAAGACUCAUGAUCACAGCAGAUUAACACACAAUACUUUGAUUCAACAAUUGGGUGAGAAUGCUAGGCAGUUGGAUGAAGCCUGUGAUACAUAUGAUCCUAGUCUGGGGAGGGUGAGACCUGUGCCAAAUUCUUCUCAAAGGAAACCUUCGAAAGCUCACUGUAGGAAAAACUUUCCAUCUAAUAACCAGCCUUGGGGGGAUGGUGCCCACAAUAAUUUUGUAUAUUCACCAUCAGAAACAUUUUCUGUCAGUGGCAAUCGUUAUAAUAGCUCUCCACUUAAACAGAAUGUGGCUAGAAAUGAAAGUCCUGUGUUUGAUGAUGACUUUUACUCAAGACUUCCCUUUCAGGAAGUUCCAAGUGAUGUUCGGGACACAUAUUUACGUGAUGUGGAAGCAAUCCGAAGUAAAUUGCGUGAAUUACGAGGUAGCACUGAUGGUAAACGUAUGAGACAGAGAAGUGAAUCUGAACCUGGUGUUGGAAAUGGAGGAAUUCCAGCUGGAUCAUCAUGGGAGCCAAAAAGAGCCAGAGACAUUUCCCCAAAACUUCCAGAAUGUAACGGCCAUGUCAGAAUGGGCGAAUGCACCUCCAGACGAAAGAUGUCCUCAAGUUUGUCAGAUCCAGUCUGCAGUUACUUACCAUCACAAAAUCACCCAUGCCAUCGCCGUGAAGCGAAGCUUCCCUGUAUCCCUCUGCAACCGAGCUGUGACGACUUCUCCAGAACUCUUCAGCUUCACUCGAGUGAUCGGAGUAUCUCCCUGGACUCGAGCCUUCACAAUAAUUACAGUGGAGAAGAUGGUGACAGUAAAGGUGAGCCAGCAGAAGACAGUGAGGAAGAUACUCGUUCAGCAGUUAGCAGCCUAACAACUGUAUCCACAGAUUCGAACACUCCCUCUGUUGUAGGUGAAUCUUUGGGAUCAAUUUCACUUAAUGACACAUCAUCAAAAAGGAUUAUCAAAGUAGAAGCUGUGACUACGACAGAACCCUGCAACCAAUCACAAGCAUUGAGAACUAGUCUCUUCUCGUAUGUUCCUCCGUAUAUCAGAUUUUGUAUGCAUGAUGAAAAAGGUGAACCUCUGCCAUAUGAAAUAGGUCGCCACAUGAAAUGGAAAUUGAGCACUAUAACACCAUUGGUUGUUAGACGAACUCUAGUAAAUUCUGGAUUCAGACUUGUGAGAAGUGAGUUUAGUAGAGAAUCAAAUGAUUGGUGUGGUACUUGGGGAAAGCAUAUGAAAUCCUUUUGUUUCAAAACACUGAAGGACUUUCAAAAAGUAAAUCAUUUUCCUGGCACAUUUCAGAUCGGUCGCAAGGAUCGACUUUGGAAAAAUCUAUAUCGCCUUAUGACGAAAUUUGGUAAAAAAGAGUUUGGAUUCAUUCCUCGAACCUAUGUGUUACCACAGGAUAGCAAGAUGUUACGUCAGGCUUGGGAGAAGAAUUGUGGAAAGGAGAAGUGGAUUAUCAAACCUCCUGCAUCAGCAAGAGGAACGGGCAUUAAAGUAAUACAUCGAUGGGCUCAGAUACCAAAGAGAAGACCAUUGGUUGUUCAGAAGUACAUUUCACAGCCAUAUUUGAUAAAUGGUAGUAAGUUUGAUUUACGCUUGUAUGUUCUUGUUACAAGUAUCAAUCCUCUGCGGAUUUAUAUUUAUGAUGAUGGCCUGGUAAGAUUUGCAUCAGUUAAAUACUCUGGUGACAUGGCAUGUCUAAGUGACAGAUACAUGCAUCUCACAAACUACAGUAUCAAUAAAAUGAGCAGCCAGUACACACAGAAUGAAGAUGCAUCAGCAUGUCAGGGACACAAAUGGACAGUCAAAACACUGUGGAGUUACCUGGAGAAGGAUGGUGUUGACGUUAAGGCAUUGUGGGACAGUCUUGUGGAUCUUGUUAUCAAGACAAUCAUCAGUGGGGAAUCUUCCAUAAGUCAACUAACACGUGCAAAUCUUGUUUCCCGUUACUGCUCAUAUGAACUUUUUGGAAUUGAUGUCUUGUUGGAUGAAGCUCUGAAACCUUGGUUGCUUGAGGUAAAUAUUUCACCAUCACUGCAUUCAUCAUCUCCACUUGAUCUGGCUGUAAAGGGUCCAAUGGUGUGUGAUCUCAUGAACAUGGCAGGUUAUCAGAUACCCAACAAGUUACAUUCUUCACUGCAGGAAGAAUUACUAAAUCGUUUUGGACUGAAAGGUCGAGUUACGAAUCUUUGUUUUGAUAAACGUCUGUAUACAACAGUAUUAUCAAAGGAGGAACGUGCAAAACACAACCAUCACCUGCAAAACAGCACACGCCAAGAGUACCUAGAAGACAUCUUACAAGAUUUGACUCCUGAUGAUGUGAGACACCUUAUUCAAUCUGAGGAUGAACUUACCCAGGCUGGCAGAUUCAUAAGGAUAUUUCCAACACCAUACACCUACACGUACCAUGAAUUUUUUGAAUCUCCUAGGUAUUACAAUAUGGUGUUUGAUGCUUGGGAAAAUAAAUAUUAUAGCAACAGACAAGAAGGUAUUGAUGUUUUGGAAUCACUUUGUCGUAAAAAAGUACAUCUGGCUGUACCAGUCCCUACACCAGGCGCAAAGAUGAACUCUUCUUACUUUGAUCAAGAUCCAUCAGAGCUUUAACUGAUAAAUAUCUUAGCUGCCUUGACAUUUCCCUAUUCUUCCUUAUAUUGUGUUACAGUUUUCUGUCAACCACCUAAAUCCUCAGGCUCACAGCCCCAACACACUCAGCCUCAAAGGUGCCCACAAUUUACAGAGUUGUCAGGAGGCAUUCGAAGAAGCAACUGAGAGCAGACCUACACCUGAAAGG